rnacentral:lncRNA from 1 species
UGGGUUCCAACCAACCCGCCCCUCGAGUGCCGGAAUCAGCAGGACGAAUCGGGUCCCAAAGAUGUGGGCAAGACUGUUCCGAGGGUCGAAACUCUGGUUCAGGAUAAGAUUAGCAGGUAUUUCACAGAGUCGACUUAAGGAAGCUAGUGCCGGAGAGGGAAGAAGUACGAAGGGCUUGCCAGUGAGCCUUAAUGACUGAUUGAUCAAGUGGGAGGGCACUGCACUGGCGGUCAGAGAACUGUUCUGUCACUGACUUGCUCUUGUGAUAAUGGUAGGCUAGUGCAUUUCUAGCUCAGGCGCAAAUUUCUCCCGACUCUAAAGUCAUACACUUGCCUUAGAUGAUGCCCAGUGGUCCUCUAAUUAAUGAUUUUUUUUAAGCUUAAAGACCUUCAUACUAUACGUUGGCAAGGGUAAAGUGUAGAGCCUUUGUUUCACAAGAAGCCAGAUAGUAAUUUCUUCUCCAGGAAAUCAUUCCGUAAGUCAGAAUUUCUCCUCUGUACCCACCCAUAAAUGAUAAUACAGGCCGUAUUUUACCUGGUGCUGUAUUUGUGUACCUGUCCGCUGUCAAAAUCCAAGCCCUUGAAGGCAGGCUUCCUUCAGAUCUUCAUUGCCUUGCACAAUGCAAGGGUAGGUACUUCCAUCUUAAUUGAAUUUUUACUUCCCAUAAAAAUUCUUCAUGGUGACUUACAUUAGUCAUCAUUACACAUCACCGUCAGUUUUGUAAGCACAGUGUCAUUCAAGGUAUUGUAAAAUUUUGAGUUUGAUGAUGUGUGACAGUUUCAAUUAUUUUAGUACAGCCCUAAUGAGAACAAGGCCGUAGUAUUGAUUCCCUUCAAAGUUGGCGUCUAAGUGAAGGUCACAUUCACAAGGAGGGCCUAACUGAAAGCAUGUGGAAGCAUCAUUAUAAACUGUUGCUAACACGCACAAAUAAAGGCUAUUAAUAGGUAUUGUUUUUCUUUUUCUUUUUCUUUUUUUUUUUUUUUUGAGUCACUCUCACUCCAUCGCCCAGGCUGGAGUGCAGUAGCACCAUCUCGGCUCACUGCAACCUCCGCCUCUGUUUUUCAGCUCCUUAGUUAAGCAUACAGCUCCAGUCAAACCAAACUAGAGGUCUGUCUGUCCUUCCAUUUUACUUGCUGUUUUAUGUCUUUUAAAAGCAAGAAGGUUUUCAAACUGUUCUUAAAGCCACGGCUUAACCAGGAGUCCCUUUAAUUAGAGCAACUGUACCUUUGUGAGUUGGAGGAAUGCCAGGUAAUAUAUAUUAUUUAUAUAUUUUAUAAAUGCAACAUUUAUAAAUAUUAAAAUAAAUUUUACAUAUAUAUAUAUAUAUAUAUAUAUAUAUAUAUAUAUUUUUUUUUUUUUUUUUUUUUUUUUUUUUUGAGACAGAGUUUUGCUCUUGCUUCCCAGGCUGGAGUGCGAUAGUGUGAUCUUGGCUCACUGCAACCUCUGCCUCCCGGGUUCAAGCGAUUCUCCUGCCUAAGCCUCCCGAGUAGCUGGGAUUACAGGUGCCCACCACCACACCCAGCUAAUUUUUUGUAUUUUUAGUAGAGACAGGAUUUCACUAUGUUGGCCAGGCUGGUCUGGAACUCUUGACCUCAGGUGAUCCACCCGCCUCAGCCUGCCAGAAUGUUGGGAUUACAGGCGUAAGCCACUGCGCCCAGCCCAUUUAUAUAUUUUUGUUGCCCAGGUCAUGGUGCAGUGAUGUGAACAUGGCCCACUGCAGCCUCGACCUCCCUGGCUCAAGUGAUCCUCCUGCCUCAGCCUCCCAUGUAUAUUGGGACCACAUGCGUGUGCCACCAUGCCCAGCUAAUUUUUAAUUUCUUUGUAAAGAUGAGGUCUUACUUUGUUGCCCAGGCUGGCCUCAGAACUCCUGGGCUCAGGUGAUCCUCCCACCUUAGCCUCCCAAAGUGCUGGGAUUACAGGUGUGAGUCACUGUGCCCAGCAAUAUAUUGUUUAAAAAAGCUUUCUUGCUGCAUGUUUACUAUCAGUCUUUUGCAAUCUUUUAGGGUCAACACUAUACCUCAAUAUAAAGUGUUAACUUCUUAUCUAUUUCAUUGGAACCAUGGAGGAUUGAAUGUGUGUGGGGAAAAUGUCUUUGUGGUUUUAGAAAUAUGCAAAAUCAGUUAAUUUUUUAAUGUGAAGGUAAUAGUAGUUGAAAUGCUUUUGAAAGUUGCUUGCCAUUUCA